rnacentral:rRNA from 1 species
UACGUAGGGUGCAAGCGUUUAAUCGGAAUUACUGGGCGUAAAGCGUGCGCAGGCGGUUUUGUAAGUCUGUCGUGAAAUCCCCGGGCUCAACCUGGGAAUUGCGAUGGAGACUGCAAGGCUAGAAUCUGGCAGAGGGGGGUAGAAUUCCACGUGUAGCAGUGAAAUGCGUAGAGAUGUGGAGGAACACCGAUGGCGAAGGCAGCCCCCCUGGGUCAAGAUUGGACGC